rnacentral:rRNA from 1 species
GACGAACGCUGGCGGCGUGCUUAACACAUGCAAGUCGUACGGUAAGGCCCUUUCGGGGGUCCACGAGUGGCGAACGGGUGAGUAACACGUGAGUAACCUGCCCACAACUUUGGGAUAACGCUAGGAAACUGGUGCUAAUACUGGAUAUGUGCUCCUGCUGCAUGGUGGGGGUUGGAAAGCUCCGGCGGUUGUGGAUGGACUCGCGGCCUAUCAGCUUGUUGGUGGGGUAGUGGCCUACCAAGGCGGCGACGGGUAGCCGGCCUGAGAGGGUGACCGGCCACAUUGGGACUGAGAUACGGCCCAGACUCCUACGGGAGGCAGCAGUGGGGAAUAUUGCACAAUGGGCGCAAGCCUGAUGCAGCAACGCCGCGUGCGGGAUGACGGCCUUCGGGUUGUAAACCGCUUUCAGCAGGGACGAAGCUUUUUGUGACGGUACCUGCAGAAGAAGCACCGGCUAACUACG